rnacentral:rRNA from 1 species
AGUGAACGCUGGCGGUAGGCCUAACACAUGCAAGUCGAACGGCAGCACAGUAAGAGCUUGCUCUUACGGGUGGCGAGUGGCGGACGGGUGAGGAAUACAUCGGAAUCUACUUUUUCGUGGGGGAUAACGUAGGGAAACUUACGCUAAUACCGCAUACGACCUACGGGUGAAAGCAGGGGAUCCUCGGACCUUGCGCGAUUGAAUGAGCCGAUGUCGGAUUAGCUAGUUGGCGGGGUAAAGGCCCACCAAGGCGACGAUCCGUAGCUGGUCUGAGAGGAUGAUCAGCCAAACUGGAAAUGAGACACGGUCCAGACUCCUACGGGAGGCAGCAGUGGGGAAUAUUGGACCAUGGGCGGAAGCCUGAUCCAGCCAUACCGCGUGGGUGAAGAAGGCCUUCGGGUUGUAAAGCCCUUUUGUUGGGAAAGAAAAGCAGCAGGUUAAUACCCCGCUGUUCUGACGGUACCCAAAGAAUAAGCACCGGCUAACUUCGUG